rnacentral:rRNA from 1 species
GACGAACGCUGGCGGCGUGCUUAACACAUGCAAGUCGAACGGAAAGGCCCUUCGGGGUCCUCGAGUGGCGAACGGGUGAGUAACACGUGGGUGAUCUGCCCUGCACUUUGGGAUAAGCCUGGGAAACUGGGUCUAAUACCGAAUAGGACCACGCGCUUCAUGGUGUGUGGUGGAAAGCUUUUGCGGUGUGGGAUGGGCCCGCGGCCUAUCAGCUUGUUGGUGGGGUAAUGGCCUACCAAGGCGACGACGGGUAGCCGGCCUGAGAGGGUGACCGGCCACACUGGGACUGAGAUACGGCCCAGACUCCUACGGGAGGCAGCAGUGGGGAAUAUUGCACAAUGGGCGCAAGCCUGAUACAGCGACGCCGCGUGAGGGAUGACGGCCUUCGGGUUGUAAACCUCUUUCAAUAGGGACGAAGCGCAAGUGACGGUACCUAUAGAAGAAGCACCGGCCAACUACGUG